CCAACAGCAACCAUGAGCUUUAUCUUCAUCAUCUUCAUCUGGAUGUUCUCCAGCUGUUUCACAGAAUCAGUUGGUGAAGUGACAGUCACUCAGACGCCUGCAGUGAAAUCUGUUCAACUCAGAGACACAGUUACUAUAUCCUGUAAAACCAGUCCUGAAGUCUAUCAGGGUUGGGGUGUUCAGCCUCUAUCCUGGUACUUACAGAAACCUGGAGAAGCUCCUAAACUCCUGAUUUAUUACACAAACCACCUCCAGUCAGGAACUCCAUCUAGAUUCAGUGGCAGUGGAUCUAACAGUGAUUUCACUCUGAGCAUCAGUGGAGUCAAGACUGAAGAUGCUGGACAUUAUUACUGUCAGAGUUUCCACGUCAUCGACAGUAAAUAUGUGUUCACACAGUGAUAAAGAGUCGUACAAAAACCUCCGUCAGUCAGAGUCACAGUGACUGAACUGAAACUGCAGCUGCUCAAACACUUUCACACUCACACACACACACACACACACACACACACACACACACACACACACACACACACACACACACACACACACACACACACACACACACACACACACACACACACACAC